UACGUAGGGUGCGAGCGUUAUCCGGAAUUAUUGGGCGUAAAGAGCUCGUAGGCGGUGUGUCACGUCGGCCGUGAAAACCUGCAGCUUAACUGUGGGCGUGCGGUCGAUACGGGCAGGCUAGAGUUCGGUAGGGGAGACUGGAAUUCCUGGUGUAGCGGUGAAAUGCGCAGAUAUCAGGAGGAACACCGAUGGCGAAGGCAGGGCUCUGGGCCGAUACUGGCGCUGAGGAGCGAAAGCGUGGGGAGCGAACAGG
rnacentral:rRNA from 1 species